CCCUGGACAGGCGGUGGAAACUACCAAGCUGGAGUACGGUAGGGGCAGAGGGAAUUUCCGGUGGAGCGGUGAAAUGCAUUGAGAUCGGAAAGAACACCAAUGGCGAAGGCGGGCGAACGUAUGACCUGACGC
rnacentral:ncRNA from 1 species